CUCAGGGCCUUUGGGAAUAGGGCCAGCCAUUCUAAAUCCAAAGUCAACUUUGACAUGUCCUUUACUAGUUUGCUGGGACUUACUGCUGACAACUGAUUAGGCUCCAGUUCUGAAGCUUCUGUGACCUCAAGAAGCCAGGAUUUGUCUAAAUGCAGCAGGAGGAAGUGUGUCAGCAUCUGGGGGACCCCGCUGGAGGUGUAGCAGAUGUCCACGAACGCGAGGUGGCCAAGGAAGAAGUACAUGGGCAGGUGGAGUCGAGUGUCCAGCCAGAUCAAGAGGAGGAUGAGCCCAUUGCCCAGCAGGGUCAGCAGGUAGGUGGCCCCAAAGAGCACAAAGAGCCCAGCCUGGGUCCGUGCAUCAUCGGAGAGACC
rnacentral:lncRNA from 1 species